AGCAGUCGCCACGGUAAUACAGAGGGUGCAAGCGUUAAUCGGAAUUACUGGGCGUAAAGCGCGCGUAGGUGGUUUGUUAAGUUGGAUGUGAAAUCCCCGGGCUCAACCUGGGAACUGCAUCCAAAACUGGCAAGCUAGAGUAUGGUAGAGGGUGGUGGAAUUUCCUGUGUAGCGGUGAAAUGCGUAGAUAUAGGAAGGAACACCAGUGGCGAAGGCGACCACCUGGACUGAUACUGACACUGAGGUGCGAAAGCGUGGGGAGCAAACAGGAUUAGAUACCCCCGUAGUCCCUGUCUCUUAUAC
rnacentral:rRNA from 1 species